rnacentral:lncRNA from 1 species
CUCUAUGAUUUUUACAGUUACCUCACUUCCUUACAUAAGUAGUAUCACCUACAAGACAACUUGGAGGAAAGUUUGAAUGACAAUAUAUAAAUAGCCAAUUCCUGGGGGCCUUAACGAUGUUCACCUUGAGGAUGGGAAAAGAUCCCAUGGACACGGAGGGGAAAUACUCCCUUUCGAGUUAUGGCUAUCUUUUGUUUGCGACAAAGGUUUGCAAGGAUAGCUGGCUAGUUUGCAAGCGUUUAAAAUUGAAAUAAGUAUUCACCGUUAACGGUUAGAAAUGGUUUUCUUUCCUAACAGAAAACUUCUCGCACGUUCUCAAGCUACUUUGAAUUCUGUCACGCGAAACUAGGAUAUAAUUUGAACAUUGGCGACGAUAGCAGUGUAAACGAACAGCUUUAACUAUCUUCGUGAAUGAGAUUACAAAUGAUAUAUUCAAAUAAUUGGAUCUUAACCAGCACCCGUCAACAAUCUAAUCGAAGUAACUAUAAUGGAGAUAAGUUAUGUAUGAUUGGGUGUAGCAGGCCAGAUUAAAGUUAUUUGACAUUU